UACGUAGGGUGCAAGCGUUAAUCGGAAUUACUGGGCGUAAAGCGUGCGCAGGCGGUUUUGUAAGUCUGACGUGAAAGCCCCGGGCUCAACCUGGGAAUUGCGUUGGAGACUGCAAGGCUUGAAUCUGGCAGAGGGGGGUAGAAUUCCAUGUGUAGCAGUGAAAUGCGUAGAGAUGUGGAGGAACACCGAUGGCGAAGGCAGCCCCCUGGGUCAAGAUUGACGCUCAUGCACGAAAGCGUGGGGAGCAAACAGG
rnacentral:rRNA from 1 species